GACAUUGCAGUCCACUCCUCGUUUUCAGUUCGGAAGUUCCCUCCUGUUGUUCGGGACGCUACUCCCGCCAAAUUGCACACAGGAACUGUCUCUGCAAGACAUCGCAACUCAACCAACCGAGGUUACUUCCAUGACUAACGGUACCGUAAAGUGGUUCAACGACGCCAAGGGCUUCGGCUUCAUUACGCCGCAGGAUGGCACCAAAGAUGUGUUUGUUCAUCACUCGACGAUUUCAGGCACCGGCUUCAAGAGCCUGUCUGAAGGUCAGAAGGUAACGUUCGAUAUCGAGCAAGGUGCCAAAGGCCCAGCGGCGACGAACGUGCAGUUGGCCUAGGCACUCGAAGCAGUCAGCUACUGCGCAAGCAGUUCUUGAUGAAAACCCCCGCCAGCGAGCGGGGGUUAUUUU
rfam:Thiotrichales bacterium SG8_50 WOR_8-12_2954, whole genome shotgun sequence.